CCUACGGGAGACAGCAGUGAGGAAUAUUGGUCAAUGGACGCAAGUCUGAACCAGCCAUGCCGCGUGCAGGAAGACGGCUCUAUGAGUUGUAAACUGCUUUUGUACGAGGGUAAAUCCCGAUAAGUGCAUCGAGUUGAAAGUAUCGUACGAAUAAGGAUCGGCUACAUCCGUGCCAGCAGCCGCGGUAAGACGGAGGAUUCAAGCGUUAUCCGGAUUUAUUGGGUUUAAAGGGUGCGUAGUCGGAAUAUCAAGUCAGCGGUAAAAAUUCGGGGCUAAACCCCGUCGUGACGUUGAAACUGAUGUUCUUGAGUGGGCGAGAAGUAUGCGGAAUGCGUGGUGUAGCGGUGAAAUGCAUAGAUAUCACGCAGAACUCCGAUUGCGAAGGCAGCAUACCGGCGCCCAACUGACGCUGAAGCACGAAAGCGUGGGUAUCGAACAGGAUUAGAUACCCUUGUAGUC
rnacentral:rRNA from 1 species